UAUCUGCCGUGGGCGCUGGAGAAUUGAGGGGGGCUGCUCCUAGUACGAGAGGACCGGAGUGGACGCAUCACUGGUGUUCGGGUUGUCAUGCCAAUGGCAUGCCCGGUAGCUAAAUGCGGAAGAGAUAAGUGCUGAAAGCAUCUAAGCACGAAACUUGCCCCGAGAUGAGUUCUCCCUGAGACUAUAAGUCUCCUGAAGGAACGUUAAAGACGAUGACGUUGAUAGGCCGGGUGUGUAAGCGCAGCGAUGCGUUGAGCUAACCGGUACUAAUGAACCGUGAGGC
rnacentral:rRNA from 1 species